CUAGAACCCUUCUUCGCCAAAACCCACCCUCCGCGACCUAACCUCCUCCGACAAAACCAUCCACGAAAAACGUCUUCCGCCUAAACUCUCAUCUGCGCCGCCCACACCUAGGAUUAGUCUAUUCGUAUAGUGCUAGCGAAGCCGCCCUUGCGCUGAUGUUCGAGCUUGUUCUCCUGUGGCGGUGUGGUUGCUCCUCGGCGCCUUGGGUCCCCGUCAAGCUCCUCUAUUCCAUUCUUUUGCGCUCAUCGCACUUCGUGAGCGCAACAUCUCCCAUAACUAAAGAGGACGAGCAUAGGAGGCCGAAGAGGGAAUGGCGCACCCUCCCCCCAUUUGUGCCUCCUAUGAUGGCACUGCGAUCAGGAAAGAGCUAUCCGACCUCCGACCUCCCGCAGCGACCGAAUCCAUGAAGGCCUUGAAGUGGGUCCGCCGCUGCUGCCAGAGAUCCCGAUGUCCCUUGUCCAGAAGCUCUUCCGGCUGAGACAUGUCACCCACCCUCCUCCAGUUUAAUCAAAUACCUAACUGAGUUUGUAAUCUUAUAUUUCCCUGCUGAAAGACUUGCCUUUGUUGCAGGUCCGGAAAAGGGCAUCUUUUGAAAUUGAACCUCGUAAAUGCUGAUCAUCCUUAACAGGGCCGAUUUAAAAGGAUGGAAUCAUACUUUCUUACCGGUUAAAGACUGGGUUAACUUCUAUCAAAUCACUUAAUUUGGAUUGUUGCAAGAGAACAAAUUCAGGGUUAGCCGCAAUAACAAGUUUCUAUUGAUGGUUGGAGCAAAUGACUUUUCGCGCUUGAAGCAAAUGUCUUUUGUCGUUUGGAGCACAUGCCUUUUGUUGCUUGGAGCAUAUGCCUUUUGAUGUUUUUUUGGUG